rnacentral:rRNA from 1 species
AUACGAAGGGGGCUAGCGUUGUUCGGAAUUACUGGGCGUAAAGCGCGCGUAGGCGGACUGAUCAGUUGGGGGUGAAAUCCCAGGGCUUAACCCUGGAACUGCCUCCAAUACUGUCAGUCUUGAGUUCGGGAGAGGUGAGUGGAAUUCCUAGUGUAGAGGUGAAAUUCGUAGAUAUUAGGAAGAACACCAGUGGCGAAGGCGGCUCACUGGCCCGAUACUGACGCUGCGGCGCGAAAGCGUGGGGAGCAAACAGGAUUAGAAACCCUAGUAGUCC